GAUGAAGAACGUAGCGAAACGCGAUAUGUAAUGUGAAUUGCAGAAUUCAGUGAAUCAUCGAAUCUUUGAACGCACAUGGCGCCUUCCAGUAUCCUGGGAGGCAUGCCUGUCCGAGCGUCGUUUCAACCCUCGAGCCCCCGUGGCCCGGCGUUGGGGAUCUGCCACGGCAGGCCCCUAAAACCAGUGGCGGACCCGAAGGCCCUCUCCUUUGCGCAGUAGCAUCAGCCUCGCAUUGGGAUCCCUCGGCGUCCUGCCUCUAAACCCCCCACAAGUCCGCUCCGGCGGCACCAAGGUUGACCUCGGAUCAGGUAGGAAUACCCGCUGAACUUAAGCAUAUCAAUAACGGAGGA
rnacentral:misc_RNA from 1 species